UCGGUAGCGCCGCUCUAUUAUGACGCGUUUUUGAAAGGACGCCGAAGACGUCUGUACGGUGUUGCAUCCGAACAGAAAUUUCACAUAAUUAAAUUUGGACCUACGACUUUUGUUGGGUUAUACUAAACCGAAGUAAUCGGACCAUAGUCUACAUAAACAUUCUGUUACUGGGACCUUCCUCCUAUUCUUCCGGCUACGUCAAACUGAACGAAGAUCCCCCCACUGUUUUG